ACUGACCCUAGAGGCAACACAGGUGUGAGCACUGACUGUUCCCAUUUUCUGUCUAUGGCUGGCAGAGAGAAGAAAGACUGUCUAUGCUCAAGGUUCUGACCCAUGGAUAUGUGAAUGAUUAAUAGCCUGACAUA